AAGCCACAAAAUCAUGUACUACAGAAAGAAGCCUGCUGUAUGCAAGACCAUGGAAAAAAUGGAUUGCAAGAUGUUGAAAAUCUGAAAAGAAAUUGGUUCUCAGCACAGAUAGUGAUGAUGUAUCAGGAUGCAUGGAACAAAGAGACUUUGAGGGAUUUUGACUGCAAUUGCUGGCACAUCCCUUGUCUUCUGCCUGUUCUUUUUCACCACCAUGCUGCAAGCAGCAGACUUCCACGGAGUGACUGACCAUCCUGGUGGGCUGCUGCGGUUUCUUGUCUUCAUCCUCUCCCUCGUGCUCUUUAACAACUUAGUAAACUUAGGUGAAAGACUCCAGGCAAAGACAUUCCGCCAAAUCAUUAACUUUUUCUUCCUUUUUUUUUGAUUCUGGCCUCCUUCACUGGUUUUAUGUUCACAUUUGGCCUCUACAAUGUCAAAGAAGAUUCUCUGUUAAAAGGACCUGGCUUCCUUUAGCUUCUUUUGAGGGCCCCAAGUUCUUGCAUUGGAAAAGAAAAUGAAUAGUUAGUGAAUGAUGCCUGUAGUUCAUCUGCUGCACAGAGUUGUCAGUGAAAAUCUGAACCCUCUAAGCAUGUUUUCAUCCACUGAAGAGAGGUAAAUGAUAUGCAAAAAAACUGCAUUAAUGCUGCACUAAAUUCAUGAUGUCAGCUGCUGUUUGCCAGCUUAUUGAACAGCAGAUGUUUGUAGCUAAGAACAACGUACCUGGAUUGAUUCGGUGAUGUCACAGAGAAGGAACGGAUGGCAUAGAGCUGUCCCUGCUCCUUUCAUUACGUCAGCAACUGGAAAUGAUGACAAUACCACGCUGGCUUAUUCCAAAUUAUGGAGACCAGUGAACAGACUAGCCUGACUGGCAAGAGAUCUCGGAAAAAGAGACUCAAGUCUGCCUCGGACAGCUACAGAGGUUAAAUGCCUCUGGAUCACGUUGCUGAUGAAAGAGACUGGAAAGUGAGAUUUGGAUAAACUUCAGAUCACCUGCUUUACAAGUGUUUUACUCUUGACUGCUCUAUCAGUGUUGAGGUCAUUUGCCAGAAGACCACUUGCCUGAUGAGUGGAAGAAGGUAUGUCCACUGCAACUGAGGGUACUUGGGUCAUCAGAGUGAUGGUCUGGCAAUCCAUGAGAGACAGGGAAUCAGAUGGGAGGGAA